AUGAACAGUACUGAGGGUCAGACUCUGACCGAGUCUGAACCAGUGGUUAAAAGGCCUGGAGAAUCCCACAGAUUGACCUGCACAUAUUCUGGGUUUGGUGAUAAUUACUGGAACGCUUGGAUCAGACAGGCUGCUGGAAAAGGACUGGAGUGGGUUGCAACUAUCAGUGUUACUAGUAGCAACAUCUACUACUCUCAGUCAGUCCAAGGCCGGUUUACCAUCUCCAGAGACAACAGCAGAAAGCAGCUGUAUCUGCAGAUGAACAGUCUGAAGACUGAAGAUUCUGCUGUUUAUUAUUGUGCUCAAUUCCCACACAGCGAGUGA